CCCUACCCGGUUUCAGGGUUUCCACCGUUCAUUAAUCGGUUUGUCCUAAAAUACAAAAUGUAGCCUUUGAGCUUUUGGGGUGCUCAUUUCCUCUUUCCUUUAAUCCUAAUCUCGUGUAUAGAAAUUCUAAACAAUCUAAGGCAAUUGAGACAUAUACCUGUAAGUAUAAUUUUCAUCGCUUCAAUUUAUUCAUCUUCUAUAUAUUUCUUACGGAUUCUUUAAUUAUAUUUCUUGAUUCGAGAUUUUUUUUUUUCAUUUUUUCGAUCUUUUUAGAAAUUGAACCCAAAAUACCUAAAGCUUGUUCCUUUGAUGUUCUUGUUGUGUAUCCUUUAUUGAAUUUCUUCUAGUUGUGUAUAUAUUUUCUGGUUUAUUGAAUUUCUUCUUAUUGUGUUAAAUAUGGAAUUAUUGUUAUUAUUAUUAUUUUUUUCUGUUCGAUCUUUUGGGAUAUCAAACCCCAAAUACCUAUUAUGCAACGAGAGUGGAGAAGAUUGAGCCUAACCCAAGUAAAGGCCUGAUUGAUAUACAGGUACACCAUUUUUUUUUUUUUUUUUGGCUCUUGAGGAUCACGUUCGAAUAGUUGAAUCCGACCAUUCUUCAUCUUCAGUAACUUGUUAUUUGAGUUGUAAUCCGUGUAAAAACUUCUUUUAAAUUGUAAUAAAUGUAAAUGAUGCUUCAAAUUGAUCAUAAUUUGUAGUGAACUUGCUGUCUAUCUGGUUAUAAGAAUGUCAUUUCUUGAUGUUUUCAUGUAGCAGAACAUACUAGAUUAGAUGGGAAAAAUGGUGAGUACCCUGUUUGUAUGGUGCUUUAACUUUAUUUUCAAGAUCCUUGCUGUGGUUGAAACUCAAGAUGGUUAGAAUAUUAUGUUAUGUUAUAAAUAAAUCUAUUUGGUUGCAAGUUAUACAGAAUUUGUUUCAGCCCCCUCUUGAUGAGAGUUACAAACUAUACAAUUUCCUUUUUAGUUGACAUUAGACCACGGACACCGUUGAGUGUUUCGAUUUAGUGAAUAAAUUAGAGCUGAGUUGGAACAUGGAAAUUGGUGUCAACCUUUAAUUAUAGUUGUACAAUAAGUAAUGAGCAAUAGGAAGUGUACAUUCUCUGUUAAAUCGUCACAAGACCUCGUGGGAACAUGUCUCACUUCAUAAUGUGGGCACUGCAAACAAAAUUUAUCUUCAGAAAGUUGGACAUGUGAGAUCCACAUAAAAGAUUUAGUGGAGAUUUAGAUUGUCGUCGUAAACUGAAUUUACAACUAAAAUGAGAGGCUGAUGACCAACUUUCUACACAGGCAAUAGUUUGGAGACCAAUAGGGCUACAUUCCCUCUGAAUGAAUUUGUAUUGACGAUUUUUGUUUCAUCAAUCUUGUCAUGAUCAUGAAAAUCGAUUUGCUUUCAUAUACCUUGCAGACCGAUAAUGACAAAAUCGAAUCCAGUGAAGCCAACUCCCGAAACACCCUCGCCAGCAUCCUCUCAUGGAGGUGAUUCCCCAGCUCUUUGAAAGAGAAACGAGCAAUCUGGUAGUUUUUUACCCUUCAAAGGCUAAUUACACAUAACAAUGUGCAUUAUGCAAAAAAAUGGAUUUUCUACUUGCCAUGAAUGUUUGGGCUUCUGGAACUUUUGUGAUUUAACCAAUUCAUCUUCAUGUCUGUUUUGGAAUGCCUUUUCACUUCAUAAUGACGUCGUACAAGUUAUGCUAUUCUUUUCUUGACGCUAUUACCUUAUAGAAGGGACUGAAAACUAUCUCAUCCUUUUAGAGACAGCAUGAUUUUUUGAAAGCAAGAACUCUUUUGUUUUAAAUAAAAUGAAGUUAUGCUAUAAGUGACAAAAUAUAGUUCAAAUAACUGCUUUCUUCCUAGAAAUGGGACACAUUAUUCGAGGAAUAUGUUGUUAUUGAUGAAAGGAAAAUUUGAGAUCAUACUGUUCUCUUAUGUAUGAUUAUUGAAAUGUAUUUGUGUAUAAGUCUCAUUUUGGAACAAGAAAUCUAUGCUUUAAAACUCCCACCGGAGAACAGGUGCAAUUUUAAAAUGUUGGGAUCCCAUUUAUUAACUCGGUUGAGAACAGAAAAGAAGAUUCAAUAUUUGAGAUCUUUUCCUAUAGUCUAUUUGAAUGUUUGUUUGCUUUUUUUAAUUUCUCUUUCAUUUUCUUAGAUUGUUCAGUCUAUUUCAAUCCUACUGGAGUCGCUGGUUUGGUUUCUUCAGAUUGCGUUCGACCACUAUGUUUGGCUUAUAGAUUUACAGGUCAUUUGCAUCUCUGUUCUUUGUACGAGCUUUUUUUUGUGAAUUUAAAAAGCAUUUGGAACUCCUUUAUUACUUUGAGUGGGAGAGGGUUUCUUGGGUGCUUACAAUUGUUCAACGUUGAACUUCUGACAUGAAAAGAUAUCGUUUAAGCUGUGCUAUUUCUCUAUGCUGGAAGCUGGUUUUUAUUGCAUUUUGGCUAGCCAUCGAAGCAAAAGAAAAAUUUCUUUGACAUCGUAGGCCGGAGAAUAUAUUUGACUAAUGGAAGUUAACAAUAAUCAAAGAAGGUUGCAUGCAUGUCAAUGAUGUCAUAGCAUUUGAAGUGGUGUAUUCAGUUGGUUGUCAGGCCAACAGUGAAUAGAUGAUAGUUGCUUGUCCUCUGCUAUUGUUAUUUGGGUAUUUUUCUGAAGUUAGCUAGCAUUUUUUGAAGAUUUUUGUAUGUCAGUUGACACAUUUUUGAAUCAUCUUCGUAUCUGAAGUUGUAAUACCUCGGGUGAUUCUCCGAGAGUUUGUUGGAUGAUUUAUAGAUCAUGACUAUCUUAUCUACUCUUGUUGGCUGGGCAAUUCCAGAUCUGGUAAGAGUGAUUUACAAAUUCAUAUUUUCCAAGGGACCUGAUGCUGUAAACUCUGAUGCUCGGACUCUUGGAAAUAGUCGGAGUACCCGUGUCGAACACGACACGACAUGGGUAUGGGUAUGAGAUAUGGGUCAGAUCCUCCAAAUUUCAACCGGACGCUUCGUCGUUUUCACUUCUUCUUUCUUUUUCCUUUUUUUCUCUUUUCGUUUACUUUCCCUUUUCUUCUUUCCUGUUUUCGCUCUCUAGAAACUUAACGUCGCCGUCGAGAGGGUGGAGAAUGACGGCAGCUCUAGGUUUUCCUUCUUUUUCUUCUUCUUUCUUUUUUCUUUCAUUUCUUCUUUUUUCCUUCUCUCUUUAUAACGGUGGUUUAGGGUUUCGUUUGUAUAAAAUUAAAAUGGGUUCCAUAUAAUGCUACUUAGUGCUCCACUAAGUCCAAAUUGUAAUUAAAUCUCUAAUUUUCUAUUUAUAUUACAUUUAGUAAUUCCCAUGAUUAAAAACUAAACCUCAAAAUUCUAUUUUAUUUAUCAUAAUCUCUUAUUCAAUACCCAUUUCUUUCUUUGUUAAUAAUUUAUUUUGGUCUAUUCAAAAUGACAUUUUGGAUUAGUAAAAAAAUUGAAGUUUAAAAGACAUCUACGUACCCGUGUUCGAAAUUUGGACUCUUUUUAGCCAUAUUCCCGUAUUCUACAUUUUAACAAAUAAAAUAUCUGACACUUAGAUACAUACCCGUAUCCGAGUCCGAGCAUUAUAGGCUGUAAAGAUAUUAGAUACAUUUGCUCAAUUUAAUCCAGAUGUUAUACCACCUGAUAUUUGACAAACUUUAACUGUUUAAAUAUUUUUUUCUUGUAAGGUGCAAUAAAAGAGCUCUUGAUAAUAGUAUUAAAAAUGAUUUCCCUCCGUCCCCUCUUCCGUCACUUUAAGCCAUGUAUUUGCUUUUCAGUGGCCCAUUGAAUCCAUUUAUUAAAUUGUUAAUUCUUGUAUUUCCAGUUCAUCCUAUGCUUCCAUUACACCAGUAGUUCUCAAGUCAUUAUAAAUGCUGAUGCUAUUUGAAUGUUCAGCCAAGCUUUUUUGUCCUGCGCGUUUACAUCGUCAAAUGUGGUUGCUUUUUAGGAUUGGACAAAGAUCAACAGGAUACUGAGAGAAAUAUAUAUUUAUAUCUAUAUUUCUUUCGGACACAAAAUCUCCAUUCUUCUUUGCAUGAUAGUUAUUAUCAGUUGUCAUAGUUUUAUGAUUUGCUCACUGGUGUACGGCAAUUUUAAAUUAUAUAGCUCUCCUGUAAGUGGACUCGUCUUGGUAUUCGUCAAAUAUCUAUUCUUUUUUAAAUGUGUUCUUGAUAGAGAGAACUAAUGCAGGGAAGGAGAAACCUUCUAUAAAUUGGGAGACUCGGAUGCAAAUUACUCUAGGUUCUGCAAAUGGAUUGACAUAUCUGCAUGACACGAGUGGGUUUUUCCACGCACAGUUCUCUUUACCAUAUUUUUCUUUGAUUAAUUGAGUAGGGUUGUAAUCACUUAAAUUUUGAAGUAUAUCAAUACUUGCAGGUCAACGAUUAUACACUGUUAUAUGAAAUUUGCUAACAUUCUUCUUGACCACAAAUUUGAAGCCAAGGUAUGAGUAUAUGUAUUAUAUUUCUUCGAAAAUAAAGAAGUUACCUCUUAAAUUUAUUCUUUUUGCGAUUUACAUGUCCUAUAAUACUAUACUAUAAAACAUUGCACUCUGCCAAAGGAUUUUUUUUCAUUAGUACAAGAAUUGUGUAAUAUUUCCUAAUGAGAAGCACUCUUAGUUAAGCACAUACCUUAUUCCCAAUCUAUUGAGUUCGACUCAUAAAUCCUUUUACCCCACUACGGUUUCCGUCUUUCAUCAAAAGAUCCAAUAAAUCAAACUAUUUGCAAACACAUUAGCUCUUAUAAAUUCCUCUUCCUCUUCCUAUUCCUCCUCCUGUUUGUAUCAUAUCAUUAUUAUUUAAAUGAAAGACAUUGUUUAGAUGAAUGCAUUUAAUAUCUGCCUGACACGUUAUCACUUAUUUUGGGUGUCAUUCUGGUUAUAUGGUAUUAGUCAAUCCAUAAAAUCUCUUAUGCCAAACCUCUAUUCAAGGCAGGAAAGACAAAUUGCUCCACUUUCCUUCGGCUUUAUAAGAAAAAAUAGUUAGGUUUUGUUUCUUUGCUUCAUUCUGAGAAGUAGAAUAUGAGAAACAACUCAAAUAAACACACAUUUUUCUAAUUAUAGACAAAAUAAGAUGUUUAGGAUUUUGAUACCUUCAUUGAAGUAUGUGCAGUGAAAAUGGCUGCAAAGAUUUUACAUUCUUUCACCAGAGAUAAUUCAGAAUUGCAAAAGCAAAUAGGAUAUAUGACAAGCAUCUUUCGAUUGUUCGAUCGGCAGUCUGUUCUUAUUGGGAGGCGCAUCUUUGGCCACAACUCAAAGGGGCUGUUGAUAGGCCCAGUUAAAUAUACUUAUUCUAGAAGGGUCAAGAAGAUUGGAAAAGGGCAGGGGCUGCAACAAACAACUAUGACAAUGUAGUUACUUGUAGUUUGGUGGUUUACUUUAAAACUGACUUUAGUGGAUGCUUCAUUUAUUUAAAGGAAUAAGAGUGGUGAAUUUGAGCUUUUCACUUAUUAUUUACUUCAGUACUUUCAUUUUGCAAAUUGAAGGGUUGUAUAUUGGAUGAAUGGUGAAUUUGAUACUGUAUAAAUCUAUUUUGCAGGCA
rnacentral:lncRNA from 1 species